UGGCCUCGAGGAUUGCUUCUAUACGGACCCCCUGGCACUGGCAAGACGAGCUUAGUACGUGCAAUUGUUCAGGAAUGCGGUGCUCAUUUAACCACUAUCAGUCCCCAUUCAGUUCACAGAGCACAUGCUGGAGAAAGCGAAAAAGUUCUGCGCGAGGCUUUCUCCAAGGCAUCAUCUCAUGCAAUAUCAGGGAAGCCAUCAGUUAUCUUUAUAGAUGAAAUUGAUGCACUUUGUCCACGUCGGGAUU